UCACGCCCGGUCGUACUCA
rnacentral:snRNA from 1 species